rnacentral:miRNA from 1 species
AGUGGGCCGGGGCUGGGGCCGGGGCCGGGGCCGGGGCCGAGGCCGAGGC